rnacentral:rRNA from 1 species
AUUGAACGCUGGCGGCAGGCCUAACACAUGCAAGUCGAACGGUAACAGGAAGAAGCUUGCUUCUUUGCUGACGAGUGGCGGACGGGUGAGUAAUGUCUGGGAAACUGCCUGAUGGAGGGGGAUAACUACUGGAAACGGUAGCUAAUACCGCAUAACGUCGCAAGACCAAAGAGGGGGACCUUCGGGCCUCUUGCCAUCGGAUGUGCCCAGAUGGGAUUAGCUAGUAGGUGGGGUAACGGCUCACCUAGGCGACGAUCCCUAGCUGGUCUGAGAGGAUGACCAGCCACACUGGAACUGAGACACGGUCCAGACUCCUACGGGAGGCACCAGUGGGGAAUAUUGCACAAUGGGCGCAAGCCUGAUGCAGCCAUGCCGCGUGUAUGAAGAAGGCCUUCGGGUUGUAAAGUACUUUCAGCGGUGAGGAAGGGAGUAAAGUUAAUACCUUUGCUCAUUGACGUUACCCGCAGAAGAAGCACCGGCUAACUCCGUG